CACUUAAUUACGAACACCUGACCUGCAGUGCAGCAGAAUUCAGAGGUAAGCGUGUUUUUAGAUGCUUUAACGUUUUAUUUACCCCCCGAUUUUGUCAGUGUAUCUUAAACGUGACUUUUGAGGUGUAGUGUUUCGAAUUUUGAAGCAUUUAAAACUUUCCAGUUUGUUUUUAGUCUUGUUUGCGCUCCAGUGACGCGCAGCUAACCUCGAGGUAAUGUAACUUACUCCAGAGACGCACUAACUUGCACAGCAUUGAAUGGAAAAGGCUUUGUCCAUGUCCAGUUGAGGGGCAUCAAGAACACGCAGAUAGCCUAAACCUGUGUCAGCCUGGACAGACUGCAGUUCUGCUACUCCACACCAAGGCUUUUGUAUGGAUGUCUUGACUGCUACUGUGUUCUCUAAAGGUUUUCUGGAAGCUCCAUUUGAGGGCAUCAAGGACAUACUGAUGGCCUAAACCAGUGUCAGCCUAGACAGACAGACAUCUAUUGCAGUUCUGCUACACAAGACCAAACUCUCUGCUUUUGUAUGGAUGUCUGACUAGUACCGUGUUCUCUAAAGGUGUAACUGGAGCAAAACAACAGCACCCGUUACAGUGAAAUUUGCAUUCAUAAAAGAUAGUGAUAUAUCAGGUAUAGUAACAGGUCCAGUACAUUUGUCAUAAAGGUUAAAUCACAGUAAGUACUGUAAAAAUAACUUGUUUGCCUUUGCCACAACAGGUCAUGGUGUGUGCAUACUGCUCGUAGUAAACACACACGCUGAUCUGAUGCGGGAGAGAUAUAUGCAAACACAUUUGUAUU
ensembl:processed_transcript